rnacentral:tRNA from 1 species
GGGGCUGUAGCUCAGUGGCAGAGCACUUGCUUAGCAAGCAUGAAGCACUGGGUUUGAUCCUCAGCACCA